GGUAGAGAGAGCCCGACCCCCGUGGCUGUCACUCGGUGACGGCUAUGAGGAAAGUCCCCCCACCGUUCGGACAGGUGACCGGGCGCAAGUCCGGAGUCGGAGACGGCUGGCGCUGAAACAGCAACGAGACCCCCUGCCCUGACCGAUGAGACGUGUGAACUGACCCGUAAGGGAAUGGAGCUAACCCGUCGAGGGCGUGGUGCCACGCGCCACGUUACCCCGAGCGGUGAAGCCGCGAGGGCUACGAUGGCAUCGCCAUCGAACCGUCGUAGGCAUUGCCUACCAGACGGGCAGGAACGGAUGGAACGGUGAAUCCUCACCGGUGCAAGGUCGCGUCAGGCGGUCGAUCGGCCAUGCGGAGUGGUCGACGGUCGCCGAGGUAGUCCGAACACGACGCGACUGCUCAGCCGAAUGUCGGGUCAAAACAGAAGGGGGCUUACUCCUCUCAACC
rnacentral:RNase_P_RNA from 1 species